CGGCAGACUGGUGGGGAGCUAGGGAAAGCCAUCACAUCCGGGCUGGUCCUGGCCCAGUGGGUGGCGGGUGCAGCUGGGUGCAGCUGGCGGGGAGCAGGUGGGUUGGAGACAUGGCAGGACUCAGAGGGGUGGGCUCUGAGAUCCCAGCUCAGAUAGCUCCUCAAGGAAGCCUCCUGCCACGGACUGAAUUCAUAUGGAGUCCUCCCCAUCCCCCACCCAGCAUUUCAGAGAGUGACUGUGUUUGGAGACAGGGUAUUUACAGAGGUGAUCAAGUUCAAAUGAGGUCACUGGGGAGGCCCUAAUUCAAUCUGACUCGUGUCUUUAUAGGAAGAGGACCUUAGGACACAGACACACCCAGCUGGAGGGCUAUGCGAGGACACAGGGAGAGGACAGCCAUCUGCACGCCCAGGAGAGAGGCCGGGAACACAUUCUCCCACAGAGCCCCCAGAAGGAUCCAACCCUGCUGACCCUUGGCUCCAGGACUUCCGGCCUCCAGAACCAUGAGACAAUCCAUGUCUGUUUAAGCCAGCCAUCCCAUGGGUUGUGGAGCCACUCCCGGACUUCUAGGUGAGGUGUGGACAAGGAACCCCCAAUAUAUUCAAACCACUGUUAGGUCCCAGAAGAGCCUCCGAGGGCAAUGGGCACAUCUGUCCCAUUCCUGGUCACCCGAGGUAUCCACUUUCUCCAUGGAAGCUGCAUACGAAAUGUGGAACU